UACGUAGGGGGCAAGCGUUAUCCGGAUUUACUGGGUGUAAAGGGAGCGUAGACGGCUGAGCAAGUCUGAAGUGAAAGCCCGGGGCCCAACCCCGGGACUGCUUUGGAAACUGCACAGCUGGAGUACAGGAGGGGCAGGCGGAAUUCCUGGUGUAGCGGUGAAAUGCGUAGAUAUCAGGAGGAACACCGGCGGCGAAGGCGGCCUGCUGGACUGAAACUGACGUUGAGGCACGAAAGCGUGGGUAUCGA
rnacentral:rRNA from 1 species